rnacentral:rRNA from 1 species
UACGUAGGUGGCGAGCGUUAUCCGGAAUUAUUGGGCGUAAAGAGCGCGCAGGUGGUUGAUUAAGUCUGAUGUGAAAGCCCACGGCUUAACCGUGGAGGGUCAUUGGAAACUGGUCAACUUGAGUGCAGAAGAGGGAAGUGGAAUUCCAUGUGUAGCGGUGAAAUGCGUAGAGAUAUGGAGGAACACCAGUGGCGAAGGCGGCUUCCUGGUCUGUAACUGACACUGAGGCGCGAAAGCGUGGGGAGCAAACAGGAUUAGAUACCCUGGUAGUCCACGCCGUAAACGAUGAGUGCUAAGUGUUGGGGGUCGAACCUCAGUGCUGAAGUUAACGCAUUAAGCACUCCGCCUGGGGAGUACGGUCGCAAGACUGAA